GGCCCAGAUCGUUUACCGUGAAAAAAUUAGAGUGUUCAAAGCAGGCAGAUCCAAUUUUCUGCCACCGAAUACAUUAGCAUGGGAUAAUGGAAUAGGACCCUGUCCUCCUAUUUUCAGUUGGUUUUGGCAGCGCGAGGACUAGGGUAAUGAUUAAUAGGGAUAGUUGGGGGCAUUAAUAUUUAAUUGUCAGAGGUGAAAUUCUUGGAUUUAUGAAAGAUUAACUUCUGCGAAAGCAUCUGCCAAGGAUGUUUUCAUUAAUCAAGAACGAAAGUUAGGGGAUCGAAGACGAUCAGAUACCGUCGUAGUCUUAACCAUAAACGAUGCCGACCAGCGAUUAGGAGACGUUGAAUACAAAACACCACCAUCGGUUGCGGUCGUCCUUGGCGUCUCGGUUUCGGCCGGGGCGCGGGGACGGUUUAGCCCGGUGGCACCGGUGAAUGACUCCCCUAGCAGCUUGUGAGA
rnacentral:rRNA from 1 species